rnacentral:rRNA from 1 species
GAUGAACGCUAGCUACAGGCUUAACACAUGCAAGUCGAGGGGAAACGACAUCGAAAGCUUGCUUUUGAUGGGCGUCGACCGGCGCACGGGUGAGUAACGCGUAUCCAACCUGCCCACCACUUGGGGAUAACCUUGCGAAAGUAAGACUAAUACCCGAUGAUAUCCCUAGACGACAUCUGAAAGGGAUUAAAGAUUUAUCGGUGAUGGAUGGGGAUGCGUCUGAUUAGCUUGUUGGCGGGGUAACGGCCCACCAAGGCAACGAUCAGUAGGGGUUCUGAGAGGAAGGUCCCCCACAUUGGAACUGAGACACGGUCCAAACUCCUACGGGAGGCAGCAGUGAGGAAUAUUGGUCAAUGGGCGAGAGCCUGAACCAGCCAAGUAGCGUGCAGGAAGACGGCCCUAUGGGUUGUAAACUGCUUUUAUAGGGAAUAAAGUGAGCACGUGUGGUUUUUUGCAUGUACCCUAUGAAUAAGGACCGGCUAAUUCCGUG